CAGUGUUAUAGCUCUUUUCUGGGUCUAGGAGGUUUUCCAUGCAGGAGCCCUG
rnacentral:snRNA from 1 species